rnacentral:rRNA from 1 species
AAGUGAGUGGCGGACGGGUGAGUAACACGUGGGUAACCUGCCCAGAAGCAGGGGAUAACACCUGGAAACAGAUGCUAAUACCGUAUAACAGAGAAAACCGCCUGGUUUUCUUUUAAAAGAUGGCUCUGCUAUCACUUCUGGAUGGACCCGCGGCGCAUUAGCUAGUUGGUGAGGUAACGGCUCACCAAGGCGAUGAUGCGUAGCCGACCUGAGAGGGUAAUCGGCCACAUUGGGACUGAGACACGGCCCAGACUCCUACGGGAGGCAGCAGUAGGGAAUCUUCCACAAUGGACGCAAGUCUGAUGGAGCAACGCCGCGUGAGUGAAGAAGGGUUUCGGCUCGUAAAGCUCUGUUGUUAAAGAAGAACGUGGGU